rnacentral:sRNA from 1 species
CCUGAAACUCAGACUGGGUUGCUGUUGAUGCUG